rnacentral:lncRNA from 1 species
AGUGAUUUGAUUGGAAAAACUGUAGAAUUGUCAUCUUCUGUGCGUUGUCUUUUGUUAUCUCUUUGAACUGAUUCUUCCAUUACAAUGGUCCGCCCUCAGAUGUCAAAAAUAGACCUUUAAGCUUCUGCAAAGCCCAAGUGAAAUUGUUUUGCCUUUCAGUUGACAAAAAUGCAAAUGCGGCUGAGAAGGUUAAGCCCGUUGAUGUCAUGCCGACAAUCUCAAGCAAAGGAAGUUUGUAUUUUUUUCGUUUUAUAUGUUGAAUCCAUCAUGAAUACAAUAUUAAAUGCGUUCAACAAUUUCACCGCAUUUGGAUGUGUCCAAAACAGGUCACUAACAACCUCUGAAUCAUCGACACACCUACUCUAAUGAAUGUAAUUAUCUCGGUCCAACAACAUCAUAAGUUGUUGUAGUUCAGUUCUGG